rnacentral:misc_RNA from 1 species
UUUCCGUAGGUGAACCUGCGGAAGGAUCAUUAUUGUAUAACCGAGGUGCGAGGGCUGUCGUUGACCCGAAAGGUCGUGCACGCCCGAGUGCCCUCACACACAUCCAUCUCACCCCUAUGUGCACCACCGCGUGGGUCCCCCUUUGGCUUGUUCGGAGGGGGGCUUACGUUUUCACACAAACUUUGUAUGCAGUGUAGAAUGUAUUUUUGUUUUUGCGAUCACGCAAUCAAUACAACUUUCAACAACGGAUCUCUUGGCUCUCGCAUCGAUGAAGAACACAGC